AGAAGAGCACAGCUCAGUUACGGCUGCCACGACGAUAGCUGCUGGUCGGCGACAACUACGGCAAGGCCAUCGCCCAGUGCCACACGUGCCGCUGUACAUGUCACCACGCCGUCCUCUCUUGCUCCACUAGAAUCUCCUCAUCUCCUCUCCGUCCUCUUCAGUUUUGCCUACAUUAUGCAUGAAUCUAAAAAGUCCACCUACAUAAUUCAUCAAGCCUACAGGUGCUCUCCUACGAUAUCUCACAAGGAUUUAGGGUCUAGUGAAAUCUAUUCAUGUAUUGUGACCUGAAAAAUUAAUCAAGGAUUGCUCUUUACCGAUGAAGAUAACAUACGGAAAUAUGCCAAGCUUGCAAAGUUGAUUUGAUUGAUAAGAAAUCCAUGUCCCAUUAUCAAUGCGUUCAAGAGUCAAGAAUCUGUGCUGGUAAUGGGUACUACAUGAACUUUUCUGCAACUACAGGUGAAAACUUUACAUUAUAGUUCAUCAUUCUAUCUGACAGCUAAUAAGACUUUUAGAGCUCCUUCAAUUACUACUCAAGCUUCCGUGUAGCCAUGCCAAUAGGAUUAGCAAUGAAGAUUCCCACGCAUGCUCACACAUAUGCAUGGGAAAACUCAUGUGGUUCCGAAACUAAUGUUGCAUCAUAUAUCUCAAUUAAAUCAAGUUAACUGUAUACUGAGCUUGAUGUUGCAUAUGCAUUGUCUUGAACGAUUUGUCUAUUGCGGAUUUGCGGUUUGCCAUAUAUGAA
rnacentral:lncRNA from 1 species